UCAUCAGAAUCGGGCAAAAAACGGAAGCCCAAAGUGAUCCGAAGCGAUGGAGCCCCAGCUGAAGGAAAGCGGAAUCGAUCUGACACCGAGCAGGAAGGUAAAUACUACAGUGAGGAGGCCGAGGUGGAUCUGCGGGACCCUGGCAGAGACUAUGAGUUAUACAAGUAUACCUGCCAGGAGCUACAGAGGCUGAUGGCUGAGAUCCAAGACCUGAAGAGUAGGGGUGGCAAGGAUGUGGCAAUCGAAAUAGAAGAACGGAGGAUCCAGAGCUGUGUGCAUUUCAUGACUCUAAAGAAGCUUAACCGAUUAGCCCACAUCAGGUUGAAGAAAGGAAGAGAUCAGACCCACGAGGCUAAGCAGAAAGUAGAUGCCUAUCACCUGCAGCUCCAGAACCUGUUGUAUGAGGUGAUGCACCUACAGAAGGAGAUCACCAAAUGUUUGGAGUUUAAGUCAAAGCAUGAAGAAAUUGAUCUGGUCAGUUUAGAGGAGUUUUAUAAGGAGGCUCCACCAGAUAUCAGCAAGGCUGAAGUCACCAUGGGAGACCCUCACCAGCAAACACUAGCACGUCUGGACUGGGAGCUGGAGCAGCGGAAAAGGCUGGCGGAGAAGUACCGAGAGUGCCUAUCCAACAAGGAGAAGAUUCUCAAGGAGAUUGAGGUGAAGAAGGAGUACCUCAGCAGCCUCCAGCCCCGCCUCAACAGCAUCAUGCAGGUGGGGCCCGCUGGCCUUUUGCUUUGCCUCCACCACUGACCAGGUGCUGCCAGAAGCCAUGUCACCCUUUGGGCUUUGCCAGGUCUAUUACCCUAAAUUAUAGUAUAAGGAUGGCCUUGUCUGCAUCCCUACCCAGUUGGUGUGAUAAGCCUGUGUCUGGGAGGAAGAAGUGCUGGCCUCAGGAAUAUAUACACACAUUGACCUGGGUGUUUUCAUCCAGGGCCUUCUCUGGGUAACGUACUUUCUCAGACUGUGUAAAUUUAGUUUACCCCCUGCAAUGGCCCCCACCGGCCUCACAAUCUCCAGGCAUCCAAACUUGCUUCCUGUGGAUGUCUGUUUGAUCCCCCUGACCAUGCUUCAGGGUCAGACUGCUCAGCAGAUCUUCUCACUCUGAAAAAAACUUUACUCAUGAGGAAGAGUCCACACUUUACCUGUAAAAUAUAAUGUCUUUCUAUAUAGGUGACCCACUUUUUAUUUGCUUUGCGAAGCCAGAUUUGGUCUAAAUCCUUAUAAUUUUAUGAAGCAAGGUAGAUGGCUAAUAUGAAAGAACUUUGUAAAAGGAUCCUAGAGAUAAAUUUGCAUUUUUUCUUAGGAUUUGGCAAGAUCUAUAUUUCCUUUCUUCAACUCUAACCGUAGAAGGAGAGUUGUUGACUGCUUGUGGUGCCUCAUGCCUGUAAUCCUAGCACUUCGGGUGGCUGACGGGGGACGAUCACUUGAACCCAGGAGUUUGAGACCAGCCUGGGCAAUAUCGGGAGGCCCUGCCUCUACAAAAAAAAAAUUAACUGGGCGUGGUGGCAUGUGCCUGUCAUCCCAGCUACUUGGAAGGCUGAGGCUGGAGUACAGUGGCAUGAUCUCGGCUCACUGCAAGCUCUGCCUCCCGGGUUCACGCCAUUCUCCUGCCUCAGCCUCCCGUGUAGCUGGGACUACAAGUGCCCGCCACCAUGUGCAGCUAAUUUUUUGUUUUAUAUUUUUAGUAGAGACGGGGUUUCACCAUGUUAGCCAGGAUGGUCUCGAUCUCCUGACUUUAUGAUCUGCCCACCUCGGCCUCCCAAAGUGCUGGGAUUACAGGCGUGAGCCACCAUGCCCGGCCUAAAAUGCUUUUUAUUUUACUUUAUAUAUUGCACAGUUGAUCCUCAUGCACUGUGCAGAGUCUGCAAACUUGAAACUGAAGGCGAUCUAGUUCAGUCAUUCCCGAGUCAAGAAAAAAAAGAAAAAAAAAAUAGA
rnacentral:sRNA from 1 species